rnacentral:rRNA from 1 species
CUUGCUUUCUUUGCUGGCGACCGGCGCACGGGUGAGUAACACGUAUCCAACCUGCCCUUUACUCGGGGAUAGCCUUUCGAAAGAAAGAUUAAUACCCGAUAGUAUAAUGAUUCCGCAUGGUUUCAUUAUUAAAGGAUUCCGGUAAAGGAUGGGGAUGCGUUCCAUUAGGUUGUUGGUGAGGUAACGGCUCACCAAGCCUUCGGUGGAUAGGGGUUCUGAGAGGAAGGUCCCCCACAUUGGAACUGAGACACGGUCCAA